GGGGCGAGCGCUGGUGCUGGGGCGGGGGAGGCCGGCGCCUGUACUGCCCUCCGGCCUGUUUGCAGCGCGGAUCCGCCCGGCGGGCAGCGGCGGCCAGAGGCACACGGAGUUUGUUUCCCUUGGCGAAUGUGGGGGCGCGGUGGUCGCAGGGUCUCCCAUGUCGGAGGUAGACCCCGGGACGCCACAGCACCUGGCCCGGCCUAGAGCAAGCAAGGCGAUCGGUUCAGGGAAAGAGGCGGCGGGCGCAGGGAUGGGGGCGGGCAGACCCCGAGCUUCCGCCGCUGUCCCUGCCGCGGGAGCAGAUUGUGCUGAAGAGAGCUGCAGCAAGUGACUGUACUGUGAAGUCAAAGGUCUUCUGUUUUACUAAAACCUGGAACGAUGCCUUUGAUUGACCUGUGACAUCUGCCAAGAAAAUGAAGAAAAGGUCCCUAAAGAGGACCACUGAUUAAGGUUCCCAAAGAUGGGAUUACUUCUCCAGCAGGAAGUCCCAUGCUUGUACCUACUUUUAACCAGUAGAUACCUGUUAAAAUACAUGAUUUAGUGUGUACUUCUGAUGUGAUAAGGGUGGAAACCCAUUUGUGCUUUAGGAAUAUGUUUCACCAGAAAGAGGAACUCUAACAUGAGUGAGCUGGGAUACCACAUAAUUAUCUCUUCUGCAUAGCUGAUUGCAUAUAGAAGAAAGUACUGCAUGCAGAUCAUCUAGACUUGUACAAGCUGAUGUGCUGUGAAAUUUGGUAGCUGAAUUGGUGUCCUUUAUAAUCCGUGUACUUUGAAAUAAAUUAAUAUGUGGAAUAAUACCUCUGGUAUUUAUUAUAUAAGAUUAUUUGUAGUAGAUAUUACAUAAAAAUUAGCUGGUCUUUUCAUCAUUGAUAUUCUUCUGUAAGAGUUAUAAUUUCUUGGAGAUUAUCAGGUUGAUAGCUAAAUGUAGCAAAAUACAGUAUUUACUUUUAGAUUCCACCCCCUCCCCGGCAGAAUGAUAAAUAAUUCCUAUACUGUUGUUUUGUUCUGUCAGACAAAAGGCAAUAAGCUGUAUCCGUGAAUGUGCCUUUUUGUUGGUUUCAGUACAAUGCAAUAUCUGUGCUAGCAUCUAGGCAACUGCUAUAAACAGGGAAAUUAUGUGCCCUGUGACCAAUACGCUUGAACUCAUGUAAUAUUUACCCCAUAAGUAAUUUAAAGGUUUGUGUAGGAUUUGUGAGAUAAUACAGUUCUUUCAUACAUAUAUAUGUGUGUAUUUAAGUAAAUAUGUAUAUAAUAUGCAUAUAUAUAUAUUGCUAACAGAAUUACUACAACUAGGAAUACAUAAUAUCAUUUGGAAAGCAAGUAACAUAAUGCUACAUUAUAUUGUAUUUCUAGUUACUUAGUUCAUGAAGAGCAGAUCCUUGCUAAUUUAUGCUGAUAGGCUCUUCACAAGCGACUAAUUGUUGUGGCAAGAGCCAUGUAACACCAAUCCACAAGCUUGAGGUUAGCCACCAUUUUGAUGUCUAGUUGGAAGAAAAACAACCAUCUUGGCAGCUGUCUGGAAGCUUAUUUUGGAAUUGUAAAGAAGAUAAUAAAGAGAGCUCAGCUACUGGAAACUUGUCUUUUUCUUCUAAUCCUUUUAUAAUGAAAGGUUUUCCUUUCAACUGAGGGAAUCAAAAAUCCGUAGAUAGUGAAUGAGUGGUUUGGGAUACUGACAAGCAGAAUAGGAAGAGAAAUCGGUGAAAGUUUCUUAACAAAGUGAAAGUAAUCCCAAAUCAAGUGAAUCUAUAAACAAACAAGUGCACUAGAAUUCUGAGCCACUGACUAUCAAUGAAACUGUAUAGUACACCCGGAAAUAUGGCUCUGCAAGCAGGAAAAAAAUAAACCCCGCAACUGCCAAGAGCUUUUUCCAAGACUCUUCCCUGUUGUGUACACUGUAACCACUGCCAGAAUAAGAGAUAUGAGAAAACCUGCAAACAUUGUUUAUUUAUGCUCUGUGUCACUUGAAAGUAUAAGAAAAAUAUAGUAAGAAAUGAUGGCAUGGUAAAGGAACAGUGUGGAGAAGUGUUUCUUUUUUUCCCCCACAGAGUGACUCCUGGGGGAUGUGGAUGGUCAAUUAAUGUAUUUUUGGUCACUUUUUUUUCACUUGUUUUAAACUGUUGGGUCAGUUCAGUUAGUGGGAUCAUUUAAUGAUAAUAUUGCACUCAACGUGGGAAUUUAAAGUUCAUUAGAUUUGACUAGUCCUAAUGGGCAUGCACUUAGUGGUGUUGUCUCUAACCAUUUUCUGUUAUACUUUCAGGCAAAGUGUCAUAGUUUUAUGUCUGUACCAAAGAUGAUCUUUAAAAGGCAUCCUGCAGUGAGUUUGCUUUAAAGUAUUGAAUUUGCCUGUAUUGAUUUUGCCUUUAAAAUAAUAAGUUAUAGUUGCCCAACCAACCAAAGGCAACUGAAUGACAGUGGUCCUUACUACAGACUGCUAUGCGUUUGGAAAGAUUCUCUUGUUUAUUGGUAAAAUUCCACUUGUAGCCUGCAUAAUAAAUGAAACUGAAAGAGGAAGUGGAUUCUGUUCUCAUUGUGGGAUCCCAAGAGCCUUUCGGGAGCACUUACAGCUGUAGUCUGUAUAGCUGUGUGCUGUUUUGACCUUUUACACAUGCUUGCACUGGUCUUGGCCUCUGCUUAUCCUCUCAUGCAGACCUGACGAGCACUUGCAAAGCCUUGGGAUAGGUGUGCAGUACCUUAAAACGUGUUUUCCUGAUGUUAGGGCAUUUUAACCUUGGUAUCACUCAUGAUUAGUGUAAUGAAGGGCAAAGGCAUAUGUGUCUGCUUUCCCUUGCUAUGCUAUUGUACAUGAUUUCCACUUAGAACUGGGAUUGGUUUACUCUUCACCUGUGUCCUUACCUUUUCUUUUUCAAAGAUAGAUGACAGCUAAAUAUUUGAUUAGAAGAAUAAAUAAUGUACUUAUAUUUUUGUGGGCUAUGUUUACAUUUGAUGACAACUACUUAUUAUGUUGUCUUUCUCUGCUGCUUCGGAUGCACUACAAAAGCUGUGGUAGGCUACGUUGUGGUUACUCACAGCUUCCUCCUGACCAUUUGACACAAUCCCUCAACCAAAUGCUGCUAAUGUUACUAAUGCAGAUGCUUCUAAAUAAUUGUGAGGUUGCAUCCCUGCAAGGAUAAAGAAAGUUUAUGCAAAUUA